rnacentral:sRNA from 1 species
UGAUUCUUUAUUCCUUAAAUCUAACCAUCAAUUUGAAGGUGUAUGUCCUAGUUUUGGGAAAUUUAUAACAAAUAAAACUGCACUGUGGCAUAUUAUAUGUAAUUUCAUAUUAGACAUAUGAGUAAUCCAUUUUGAGGUUUAAUCUUACUCAUCUUGAAGUCUAAUAUAAACAUUUGCAAAACCUCAGUACAUACAGUCAUAAAACAUUUAUUUUAAUGGCUGCUAGAAAACUGCCUUGGUAUUAAUGAUCAUGUAUGCACUGAAGCAUUGAAAUCAUAUCCAUCAGAUAUGUGUUUAAUGUACGUAUCGGGGACUUAAUUAGGUUUAUUAGUGAUGCAAGUUUUAUCUUUAAACAGCUCCAGCAAUUGAUAUGACAGCACUUAGUUAUAUAGAUUAAAAGAAAUAUGUUAACAUAUACUUGAAAAUUCCAGUUUAAACCCUUGAAAGUAGUUAUUAUAAUAGGUGAUACAUUGUGUGGAAUAAGUGAUUUCAAGCAAAUAAGGUCAUUUAAAGAUGUAUUUUUCCUAAAUUGGAGCCUCUAUUAAUUUAGGAUGUACAUGAGGUGGUUAUAUAUAGGUGCUGAAGGAGGAUGUGUUUUAUUUACGUGAGCAAAAUGUAUCAGUUACAUUUAGAACAGGCAAGUGUCACCAUGUUCACUGGAUAUCCUAUGUUCAUUUCAAAUACAAUGUACUAGAAAUCAGAGAAGCAGGCAGUGAAUUACUAAUUUUGCUGUUGACAGUAAACACAACUUGAUUGGGGAAACUGGAGAGUAGAAAAAUACUUAUAUUGCUUUGAGCUGACACUUGAUUCCAAUAAAUGAUUUGUUGAAGACAAUAUUUGCCAUAGCAACUGAUUGCUUGUGACAAUUGUUAGUACCGGUAUACGCAGGUGACAGAGAUAUUAGCCAGCCUUUACAAUGCUCAUAUCUUGGAUUGAAUUAUCAGAUCUGAAGACAAAUUGGAAAUAAUUCGUGUCAUUUUCAUUUUCAAAACAAAGGAUGAUUUGAAAGAUGCAAUUUUUGCAGCAAGGAGUUGUUACACCUUAUACUGGAGUGCACUCAAUGUCUUCAUGUUGUGCAUUCUGAGCUGAUUUUCAGAUCAAGAUAAAAUAUAAACCAUGUAAAGGAAGUGAGUGAGAAAAAAAGUCGUGAGCUGUGUCAAUGAAUAUGAAAUGUGUCAUGAAGUGUAAAUACAGUACACGCAAGAUGUUUAUAGUUUCAUAAAAUUAAUUUUAUAUAAGUUGUUUAUGUAAUUUGCGUUUCAAUGGAAUCUAAGGACAUUGAAUUGGAAGUACCACCAGAAGAUCAACAUGAAUCUUUGCAGGAUCCACCCCCAGAGAAAGCUCGCAAGGAGGGGGAGGAGGAGGGGGAGGAUGAAUUUGAUUUUGGUCCAGCAGUUUAUGAUGAAAAUUUAUAUGGUGGGUUAGGCUUGGAUAUUUUGUCUUUUCUAAUCAAUUUUAUGAAGAUUGAUAUUUGCAUGCAGCUGUGACUAUGGUUACGAUUUAAUAAUUUCUUCUUACAUAAAGGUGAGCUGUCGUUCAUAUUUGAUUAAUAGUGUGAGAAGAUUAGAAAAGGAACAAUAGAUAUUUUAACAUUGCAUCUAUUGGUCUUUACAUGUAUGUGCUGCUUUAAGUAUGUGUUGACAUGGGGAUCGACCUGCCAUACUGCUACACUCGUAACUACCGGUAUACAAUCCACAAAUUGAUAUUGAUCUACUGGUACAUGUACUAGUAUAAGAGGGCGUGGAAGUUAUUACUGGCUUGUAAACCCUUGAUGUUUCAUAUAUAUAUAGUUUUACUGGAAAAGGGUUGCCGGAAAAAUCUAAAUAUCACUGACGCAGGAAGGAACCAACAAGUGGAUGUCAAAGACAACUGCUAACCUGUUGACUAUAUAUGUGAUGAUGGAAUUAAGCAUAUAAACUAUUAAUUGCAUGUGGGCUGAAUUUUACACACUUUUAUAUGCUAAAUGAUUGAUUAUUAUAAAUUCUCUGAAUUCAAAUACAAGUUCAAUGUAUGGAUUUAAUUGAUGAAAAGGUUUUGAUGAAGUUAACAGCAUCCAACGCCAUAUACUCGUUAGCAUUGUUUGAUAUUUUUGGGUGUGUACUUUAAUUAGUAGUUCUUAAUUGUCAGUGCUAUUCUAAUAAAAACAAAACAGAAUACAUUUCAGCCAUUAAGUUUCAAUCAUAUGCAUGUAUAUAUUACUCAAUCUGAAAGAGUAUUAAUUGUACUGACUUGAGCAGCACAUCAGUCUGCCUAGUGAACAAGUUUAUAGUUAUAGUA